UAUCUAAUCCACGCCCUAAACGAUGCCUACUAGUUGUUGGUGGAGUAAAAUCCAUGAGUAACGUAGCUAACGCGUGAAGUAGACCGCCUGGGGAGUACGGGCGCAAGCUUAAAACUCAAAUGAAUUGACGGGGGCCCGCACAAGCGGUGGAUUAUGUGGAUUAAUUCGAUGCAACGCGAAAAACCUUACCUGGCCUUGACAUGUACGGAACUUUCCAGAGAUGGAUUGGUGCCUUCGGGAGCCGUAACACAGGUGCUGCACGGCUGUCGUCAGCUCGUGUCGUGAGAUGUUGGGUUAAGUCCCGCAACGAGCGCAACCCUUGCCAAUAAUUGCCAUCAUUUAGUUGGGCACUUUAUUGGGACUGCCGGUGACAAACCGGAGGAAGGUGGGGAUGACGUCAAGUCCUCAUGGCCCUUACAAGCUGGGCUACACACGUGCUACAAUGGCGAUGACAGUGGGCAGCGAACUCGCGAGAGUAAGCUAAUCUCUAAAAGUCGUCUCAGUUCGGAUUG
rnacentral:rRNA from 1 species